GCCCGCCUAGCUCAAUCGGAUAGAGCGUCAGACUCUUACGGCGGUGCGAGCAGCGCUGAGUUGCGAUCUGAAGGCUGCGAGUUCGACCCUCGCGGUGGGCU